GUUCCGUCCCGUUCCCCCCGCCCGACACCCGACCUGGACCCCCGCUCGGCACACCUCCCCCAACCCCCGUCCGAGCGUCCGUGUAGAUCGUGGGAGGAUUCAGUUUCCGAAUCAGCCUCCCGCCGGCGACCCUCUGGUGAUGCGCUGCCCGGUUUCCCCCUCGCACCGUCCCGGCGAGGCCCUGCGCCGCCGGCUCCCGUGCCGUCCCGGCGAGACGUCCGCCCCGGCCACCCCCGCCUGCUCCCCGGCAAGGCGACCCUCAGGUGAUGCGCUGCCCCUUCUUGUGCCGCAUCGGCCCGCUGCAGACGUUUGAGCCGGGCUCCUGGUCCCCGUCGCGUCGCCCCAUUGAGGCCCUGCGUCACCGGCUUGCAUGUCCGUCCCUUUGCCGUGUGGUCCACAGCUCGUCCUCAUCGACUAGCUCGCUGCGUUGAAGAGCAGCAGCGGUAGGUUCAUACCCCUUCUUUCCUGCGGAAUCCUCAAAUUUGCUCGUGAGUUCCCCCUUCCGACCCCGAUUGACUACAAGAGUUCGUCCUCGGUAGUGGCUCUUCCUAUCCCUCCCCUUUGUCGUGGAUUUCUUCAGAUUAAUGUGCUCUGAUUCUUCCCCCCAGCGCAAAAUGCCUUGUAUUCCCUUCGUUGGUGCCGAUGAUUUGUUGCAAUCUCGUAGUAGCGUGAUUGGAUUGGUAGAGCAUUCUUGGCCAUAGAUUGUUGCAAUCUUGUAGUAGCCUGAUUCUUUUCCAUGUUCCCUGUGAUUACUUAGAGUCUGAUUUUUCCAUGUUCAGUUCCAAUCUUCAGAUGUUUCCUGCUCAGAGGUUGGUCCAUAAGAUGGCUACCAAUCGAAGGAGGGUGGUCUUUGGGUGCACGUAGAAUGUGUUUGAGGUUCCCCUCAGACUAGAACAGGAAGCACCACGUGCUAGUGAUGCCGCACCUGUGCUGACUCAUGGUCUUGCUUCGACCUGUGACUGUGAGAGGCCAAUGCGUGUAACACAUCAAGGCAAAAGGGAGCAUGAUGCAAAGGCUCGGACAAGUCUCCACAGAUCGGAAGAGGAAUGUUUCUGAUGAAGCUGUUGGCGUAUGGUGACUUCGUUGAUGAUCAUCUUUCCCGUAUGCCAAAUAAAUUGUAGUUCUUUUUUAUAAAAAAAAUUGCAGUUCUUCCCAAGGUUGAAUCAGCAAUCAGCAAAUGUGCCUCUCUCCAAUCACUGACUAGCCACAUCACUACCUCAAAGAGGGAAGAUGUGCAGUUUUGUAUGCUUUUUAUUUACCAGGUCUGCCAAAGUAAGAACACUAUAAAGCGUUCUACUAGACUCAAUGUCAGGUGCUUCUCACAAUUCUCUAGGUUGGUCCACUGCUCACAAUGGUGCUGAUGCAAUAGAAAGCAGGAAAUUCCUUUGGUUCAUGGAUAAGAUAAGAUAAGAUGAGUCCAAAUGACAUGAAAAUCUGCAUUGUAUUGGCCCUGGUAAGGUCCUAAUGAUACACCCCGAAUAUCAGCAUGGUUCUUGGAUUGCCACAUGAAUAGCUAGUUCCGGGUCAUUAGCUUUGUCGUGGGCUGAUCUGUAUAGCUAGUUCAGCUAGCUAUUUUUUUAUUGAUUACCAGUUGUUAAGAGUAUUGAUCCACAAUUUCAUUAUUUUUUUUGCCUCAGCAUCCCAAAUUUGUCUCGGAAUGAUGUGCGAUUAUAUGCAAUAGGUAUAUAGGUGCUGACGCUAAUUUCAUCAAGUUCCACAUAUUUCUGGUGAAAAAGGGCUAUUGUUUCAACCAUAUUCUGCAACUGAACUGAAAAUGUUUAGUUUAAGCAAAAUGUCGGGAGGUUUUCUUUUGAUUUUAGAAAGGAUAAAAUGAUUUUUGCAAUCUCGUAGUCAAAUAUGGGAUUUCUUCCAAUCUGCUGCACACACAUGGGAUUUAUGCUGUCUCUGCAGGAUGAUGGUAACAUUCAGCAGCCCACGGCUAUCCCCAACCAACGAGUUAUAGGAGACGAGCAGGUGCCUGAUGAUGUGCCGUGAAGCCCCAGACCUGUCCAGCUCCGACACGAACGCCACGUGCAGAGCACCUCCGUCCAGAUUCUGGCCACUGGAUAUCUUCUUGCUAACUUCCAGGCGUUGAGGCGGCAGUGACUAAGACGAGGUCAGAAGGAAACUGCAAGAGUGGAUACACGAGCUUAGAUUGCAGCGAGCUCAGCAUGACAUGUCUCUAACCACGAGGAUAAACACUGUAUCAUUUUGGUGUGCACAUUCAUCAUUUUGUUUUUUCUAAAAAAAGAAUUCAGUUUACAAAUGCCAAUGUGUACGAGGUCAGAAGCUAGCUGAAAGAACGACUACAAGGGACAAGAUGGACUUUGAGACCCAUAGAGCAUAAAUUAGAUUUAUUGUUCAAUUUGUAUUCCUUCACUCACCUGGCAACAAAUCUAUUUGCAAAAUACGUAUGACCUGAUUGUAGUACCGGCACUGCUCUAUGGAAUGGGAGUAAAGUAC